UUUUAGGCAAGAACGACCUGUCGAAAAACAAGACUCUGGCAGAUGUUCUAGUUCGUUCAGACAAACACCCGAAGGCCUGAAGAGUACCGAUUUACCAGCUAACGAAUAUCUGGAUACAAGUCAUCUGAUCAACUAGGAAGCCGAUGGUGGAUGGAUGUUUACCAAGCUCUCAUUUUGGGGAAUACAUGGAGAAGUUUGGGUUUGCUGUAGUUAGCUGCUGCACUUGUCUCGUUUUGGGGAAAUUUGUGGGAGUGCUUCCAGUUCACACUAGAACAUUCCAGUGGUUUAAUCAGCGUGUAGUGAUCAUCAGAGAACACCACCAUGCUUGCUCUGUUUACCCGCCCACUCUGUUGUGAGGCGGCAGCUUUGAGCCUUUGACGAAGUGAUGUUUGUUUUCCGUUGUGUAAAGUUGGAGGAUCUCCUGCGAUGAUAGAAACGACGUCAUCGUAAUGCUUAGCUUCAUAUAUGCAUGAUAUUGCGUCUUAUAGAUCUGUUGUUGGAAAAUCAAUCUGCUAGAGGAUAUUCUGUUA